rnacentral:rRNA from 1 species
UCGUACCGCGGCGCUAGAGGUGAAAUUCUUGGACCGCCGCGAGACGGACGACUGCGAAAGCAUUUGCCAAGCACGUCCCCGUUAAUCAAGAACGAAAGUCAGAGGUUCGAAGGCGAUCAGAUACCGCCCUAGUUCUGACCAUAAACGAUGCCGACCAGCGAUCCGCCUGGGUUCCUCGAAUGACCCGGCGGGCGGCUUCCGGGAAACCAGAGCGUCUGGGUUCCGGGGGAAGUAUGGUUGCAAAGCUGAAACUUAAAGGAAUUGACGGAAGGGCACCACCAGGAAUGGAGCCUGCGGUUCAAUUUGACUCAACACGGGGAACCUCACCCGGCCCGGACACCGGCAGGAUUGACAGAUCAAGAGCUCUUUCUCGAUUCGGUGGGUGGUGGUGCAUGGCCGUUCUUAGUUGGUGGAGCGAUUUGUCUGCUUAAUUGCGUUAACGAACGAGACUCUAGCCUGCUAACUAGGCGUCCCGAUCCCCCGCGGUCGGGCGCUCACUCUUCUUAGAGGGACCGGCGGCGUUCAGCCGCACGAGACGGAGCGAUAACAGGUCUUAGAUGCCCUUAGAUGUCCGGGGCCGCACGCGCGCUACACUGGAGGAGUCAGCGUGUGCUCUCCCAGUCCGGCAGGACCGGGUAACCCGUUGAACCUCCUCCGUGCUGGGGACAGGGGCUUGCAAUUGUUCCCCUCGAACGAGGAACUCCCAGUAAGCGCGAGUCAUCAGCUCGCGUUGAUUACGUCCCUGCCCUUUGUCCACACCGCCCGUCGCUACUACCGAUCGAACGAUUUAGCGAGGUCCUCGGACCGUCCCCGGCGGGGUCCCCUUCGCGGGUCCCUGCGCGGGCGAUGGGAAGAAGCCCGAACUUGAUCGUUAGAGGAAGUAAAAGUCG